rnacentral:rRNA from 1 species
UACGUAGGUGGCAAGCGUUGUCCGGAAUUAUUGGGCGUAAAGCGCGCGUAGGCGGCUCGGUCAGUCGGGUGUGAAAUCCCUGGGCUCAACCUGGGAACUGCAUUCGAUACUGCCGAGCUAGAGUGUGGGAGAGGGUGGUGGAAUUCCCGGUGUAGCGGUGAAAUGCGUAGAUAUCGGGAGGAACAUCAGUGGCGAAGGCGACCGCCUGGCCCAACACUGACGCUGAGGUGCGAAAGCGUGGGUAGCAAACAGG